GGGGCUGUAACUCAGGGGCAGAGCACUUGCCUAGCAUGCGAGAAGCACUGCGUUCAAUCCUCAGCACCACA
rnacentral:tRNA from 1 species